GAUGAACGCUGGCGGCGUGCCUAAUACAUGCAAGUCGAGCGAAUGGAUUAAGAGCUUGCUCUUAUGAAGUUAGCGGCGGACGGGUGAGUAACACGUGGGUAACCUGCCCAUAAGACUGGGAUAACUCCGGGAAACCGGGGCUAAUACCGGAUAACAUUUUGAACCGCAUGGUUCGAAAUUGAAAGGCGGCUUCGGCUGUCACUUAUGGAUGGACCCGCGUCGUAUUAGCUAGUUGGUGAGGUAACGGCUCACCAAGGCAACGAUGCGUAGCCGACCUGAGAGGGUGAUCGGCCACACUGGGACUGAGACACGGCCCAGACUCCUACGGGAGGCAGCAGUAGGGAAUCUUCCGCAAUGGACGAAAGUCUGACGGAGCAACGCCGCGUGAGUGAUGAAGGCUUUCGGGUCGUAAAACUCUGUUGUCAGGGAAGAACAAGUGCUAGUUGAAUAAGCUGGCACCCUGACGGUACCUAACCAGAAAGCCACGGCUAACUACGUGCCAGCCGCCGCCGUAA
rnacentral:rRNA from 1 species